UACGUAGGGCGCAAGCGUUAUCCGGAAUUAUUGGGCGUAAAGAGCUCGUAGGCGGUUUGUCGCGUCUGCUGUGAAAACCGGAGGCUCAACCUCCGGCCUGCAGUGGGUACGGGCAGACUAGAGUGCGGUAGGGGAGAUCGGAAUUCCUGGUGUAGCGGUGAAAUGCGCAGAUAUCAGGAGGAACACCGGUGGCGAAGGCGGAUCUCUGGGCCGUAACUGACGCUGGAGGAGCGAAAGCAUGGGGAGCGAACAGG
rnacentral:rRNA from 1 species